AAAGAAAGUAAGCAAGGGCGCAUGGCGGAUGCCUUGGCUCUCGGAGGCGAUGAAGGACGUGAUAAGCUGCGAUAAGCUUCGGGCAGGUGCAAAUAACCUUUGAUCCGAAGAUUUCCGAAUGGGACAACCCGGCAUUCUGAAGGAAUGUCAUCCAUCCUAGAUGGAAGCUAACGCAGGGAACUGAAACAUCUUAGUACCUGUAGGAAAAGAAAAUAAUAAUGAUUCCCCUAGUAGUGGCGAGCGAACGGGGAUUAGCCCAAACCAAUGUUGUUACGGCAAUAUUGGGGUUGUAGGACCACGAUGUCGCAAGAAAUUUAGUGAGAAGAACCCUUUGGAAAAUGGGACCAUAGACGGUGAUAGUCCGGUAUUCGAAGCUAAAUGAAGCGUAGUGGUAUCCUGAGUAGCGCGGGACACGAGGAAUCUUGCGUGAAUCUGCCGGGACCAUCCGGUAAGGCUAAAUACUCCCGAGAGACCGAUAGCGAACCAGUACUGUGAAGGAAAGGUGAAAAGCACUUCGAAUAGAAGAGUGAAAUAGUCCCUGAAACCGUGCGCCUACAAGCGGUCGGAGCNNNNNNNNNNAGAAGAGUGAAAUAGUCCCUGAAACCGUGCGCCUACAAGCGGUCGGAGCUGUGUAAACAGUGACGGCGUGCCUUUUGCAUAAUGAACCUACGAGUUACUUUUUCCGGCAAGGUUAAGGAUCUUGAGAUCCGCAGCCGAAGCGAAAGCGAGUCUUAACAGGGCGAUUAGUCGGAAGGAGUAGACGCGAAACCAAGUGAUCUACCCUUGGUCAGGUUGAAGGUUAGGUAACACUAACUGGAGGACCGAACCGAUAAGCGUUGAAAAGCUUCCGGAUGAACUGAGGGUGGGGGUGAAAGGCUAAUCAAACUUGGAGAUAGCUCGUACUCCCCGAAAUGCAUUUAGGUGCAGCCUUGGGAAUUACUACUGUGAGGUAGAGCGACUGAUAAGAUGCGAGGGCUUCACCGCCUAUCAAGUCUUGAUAAACUCCGAAUGCGCAGUAGUUCGAUCCCAGGAGUGAGGGCAUGGGUGCUAAGGUCCAUGUCCUAAAGGAGAAGAAUCCAGACCAUCAGCUAAGGUCCCGAAAUAAUUGCUAAGUUGAACUAACGAAGUCAGAUUGCUAAGACAGCUAGGAUGUUGGCUUGGAAGCAGCCAUUCAUUUAAAGAGUGCGUAACAGCUCACUAGUCGAGGAGUUUGGCGUGGAUAAUAAUCGGGCAUUAAGCAAUUUACCGAAGCUAUGGGAUCAGUAAUGAUCGGUAGGGGAGCAUUCCACUCUGCGUCGAAGGUGAAGCGUGAGCUUUGCUGGAGCGUGUGGAAAAGCAAAUGUAGGUAUAAGUAACGAUAAAGGGGGUGAGAAACCCCCUCGCCGAAAGACUAAGGUUUCCUGAUCAACGCUAAUCGGAUCAGGGUUAGUCGGGUCCUAAGGCUCAGCCGAACGGUGAGGCCGAUGGCAGAACAGGUUAAUAUUCCUGUACUACCUUAAGGAGUGACGUGGAGACGGAGGAGUGACAGCGCCGCGGACUGACGGAAUAGUCCGUUGAAGGGUGUAGAUGUUGAUUAUCCCAGGCAAAUCCAGGAUAAGAGUCGAACCUGAUAGUAUACCAAAUUCUUCGGAAUAAGGUAAUAGUGCGUGUAAGCAUACUCCCAAGAAAAUCCGCUAAACUUAAUCUUUAAGGUACCCGUACCGCAAACGGACACACGUAGUCGGGUUGAAUAUACUAAGGCGCUUGAGUGAUUCACGGUUAAGGAACUAGGCAAAUUGACCCUGUAACUUCGGGAUAAAGGGUCCCAACGAGAGUUGGGCGCAGAGAAUAGGUCCAGGCAACUGUUUAACAAAAACACAGGGCUGUGCUAAAUUGAAAGAUUACGUAUACAGCCUGACACCUGCCCGGUGCUGGAAGGUUAAGAGGAGAUGUCAUCGCAAGAGAAGCAUUGAAUUGAAGCCCCAGUAAACGGCGGCCGUAACUAUAACGGUCCUAAGGUAGCGAAAUUCCUUGUCGGGUAAGUUCCGACCUGCACGAAUGGUGUAAUGAUCUGGACACUGUCUCAACCGUGAGCUCAGUGAAAUUGUAGUAUCGGUGAAGAUGCCGAUUACCCGCGAUGGGACGAAAAGACCCCGUGAACCUUUACUAUAGCUUAACAUUGAAUUUGGGUAAUUGAUGUGUAGGAUAGGCCGGAGACUUUGAAGCAGGUACGCCAGUAUUUGUGGAGUCGCUGUUGAAAUACGGCCCUUUGAUUAUUUGAGUUCUAACUCGUAGAUGCGAGGACACUGUUUGGUGGGUAGUUUGACUGGGGUGGUCGCCUCCAAAAGUGUAACGGAGGCUUCUAAAGGUGCCCUCAGGACGAUUGGUAACCGUCCGUAGAGUGUAAUGGCAUAAGGGCGCUUGACUGGGAGACAGACAAGUCGAUCAGGUAGGAAACUAGAGCAUAGUGAUCCGGUGUUUCCGUAUGGAAGGGACAUCGCUCAAAGGAUAAAAGGUACUCCGGGGAUAACAGGCUGAUCCCUCCCAAGAGCUCAUAUCGACGGAGGGGUUUGGCACCUCGAUGUCGGCUCGUCACAUCCUGGGGCUGGAGAAGGUCCCAAGGGUUGGGCUGUUCGCCCAUUAAAGUGGCACGCGAGCUGGGUUCAGAACGUCGUGAGACAGUUCGGUCUCUAUCUAUCGUGGGCGUAUGAAAUUUGCGUGGCUCUGACACUAGUACGAGAGGACCGUGUUGGACUGACCGCUGGUUUACCAGUUGUGCCGCCAGGUGCAUUGCUGGGUAUCUAAGUCGGGAUUGGAUAAGUGCUGAAAGCAUCUAAGUACGAAGCCAGCCACAAGAUUAGAUUUCUUAGGGUCGUCAAAGACGAUGACGUUGAUAGGAUGCAGGUGUAAAGGUGGUAACAUCAAAGCCGAGCAUUACUAAUUGCCCGUUCACUUUCUUU
rnacentral:rRNA from 1 species